rnacentral:rRNA from 1 species
GCUGGCGACCGGCGCACGGGUGAGUAACACGUAUCCAACCUGCCGAUAACUCGGGGAUAGCCUUUCGAAAGAAAGAUUAAUACCCGAUGGCAUAAUGAUUCCGCAUGGUUUCAUUAUUAAAGGAUCCGGUAAAGGAUGGGGAUGCGUUCCAUUAGGUUGUUGGUGAGGUAACGGCCCACCAAGCCUUCGAUGGAUAGGGGUUCUGAGAGGAAGGUCCCCCACAUUGGAACUGAGACACGGUCCAA